AAAACAAAAUGUCUUUUUUGUUAUGCCUUUUCAGGAGAUGCUCGAACAUGGAACCUUAAAUACUGAACAUCAUGAGGUAGAGAAGAUAGAGUGCUGAUGAUAAGUUUCUUUCCAGAAAAUGUCUCCUGGUUUUGCAGGGUUGGAUUGUCACCCUGAAAGAAGAUCUUUUUUCGAGAGAACUGGAAAAACAUGUCCUAACCCCUGCAGAGAUUAAACCUCUGAGCUAUAACUGCUUCUGCAGGGAACAUGUGCAAACAUAUUAUCAUGAAGAAGGACAAUGCCGAAAUUCAUCCAGUAGAACUAGAGAACAGUCACUGUGAUCCGUAGUACACCCGUACAACUUAUACUACACCCUUGCAUAGCUACAGUGACCUUUGUCCUCCAAAGAAAUGAGUGAACUGGUCCGUUUACAAGUCCAGCAGCCACUCUGCUUGUGCAAACAGCGAGGUCGCCUCUUCAGAGACUCGCUCUCCGCCCCUUUGUGGAAUGGAGCUACAUCACCAAGAACAAGGACGUCACGCAAGUAUGCAAAUCGACCCUGAAAAGCUUGCACACACCCAGCUUUUUUCUCUUGUGCGAGCCAACUUGUUAUUCAAAUGUGUACGACACACACAGUCGGCACGCAUAUACGAAAGGAGAAACAAAAAAUAUGGCAUCAAUAUGAAAGAACCUUAUAUCUGAAGUUGGACUCAAAUGCCGAGAUAUGGAGGUGGCAAAUGAAUGUGAAGGUUUCAUGAAAAGCAAACUUACAAAGUUAACAGCUAACCAGGGCGGGAAUAAAUACAAAUCUAAGUAGGGAAACCAAGAGGGAGACACAAGGAUAACACAAGGAGAUCAUGACUGGAGUAGACGAGAGGAUCCAGCAAGGAGUGGCUGAAAAUGUAGCGCUUAAAUACUGGUAGGUUGAAUACUGAAAGAAAGGACCUAGACUGAUGAGCUAAAGGGUUGCAGGUGUGAGUGAAGGGAGGAUAUCGCUAAUGUAUGGCUGGUGCAUCAUUCAGUAUGACCCUUCCAUGAAGAACUUUGGGCAGCAGUACCAUGAAAUAUAGGUGGUAGGAAAGAGAAUGUGGCUGAGCAUGCUACAUCCCACCAAUCAUAAUCUGGAUAAAGUCUUUAAAUUGAUGCUAAUUUAACAAAGAAUGUAUAAUUUAUCUGACAAAACCUCUUUUAUGUGGUGCAGAAGAACAUAGUUGUAAUUGUGUAGCUCUGUCCUUGCAUUCCCAGUGGUGCAUCAGUAAGAUAAUGUACAGUCUGGAUGUAAAGCCCCACUGUUCUGCAAGCAUGAAUAGUCAUGAUUCAUAGACAGGCAUUAAGUGACUCUCAGCUUGAAUAAUGGUUUUUAUUCUGUGAACUCAGUUUCUGUGCUGUGCAGGCUUCUUUUUCCACACCUCUCAUCAUGAUCUGAACGUACAGCGACACAAGUCUGUGAUUCAUCAUAAAACAUUUCCAGACCUGUGUCUGAGUCUAAAAAUAUAAUGCUGGAUUAUAAACAGUGAAAUGAAAAUGAUGGAGUGGUUUGUUUUAGCAGCAACAGUUAACACAAGCCACAACAUCAUUCUCAGUGGAUCUGAAGUAGUUUGAAUUCCUAGAUGAUUUCAUAUCUGGCAAAUCUUAAAAUGCAAACAAUGAGGUAUCAUGAGCUCAACAUUAAUUGCUGAGUAUUUUACUGUAUCUUAAUAAUCAAACAUAAGCAUAUCUUUGAUCUGUUUUAUUGGUGAAGCUUUUACCUUUAUAUUUCUUAGAUGAUUUGUUAUUAGAGUUUACUUCUUUUUCCUCCUUAGUUUCUGUAGGUGGUGCUAUUUUUCUGGCUGAUCCAUCCAACACUCUUUAAAAAACAUCAUAAAACCCCAAACCACUCCCCACUUGCCAAAAAUUAUUCACUUCACAUGAUGAUGAACAGACAGCAGAAGUUUAUUUUCUCUUGAGCUCAUUGAUUUUAGGAAGAAGAAAGCUUUUUCUAAGGCAUUUCUUCUUAAAUUAGAAUUCAGGAUCAGGAACUCCUUUCUGUGUACAGGAUUAAAAAUGCAAACAUUCUGAAAGGCGAUCAGGAGACCAAUAAGGAUGCAGAUGAAGUCCGGUUUCGUCUGAAGAUGAUCACAGUCUUAGGAACAUCUGUUCUUGUUUCUGUUUCAUUGCCUAACAGUAUGGGUCAAAUUUUUUGGGGUUAUUAAAGUGUUUUGAGAUUAUUUGCUUUUCAACUCAGAGGAGCUACGUUUUUAAAUUCGCAAAUGAUUUAGCAGAUUGUUGUGUGCUUCUAUAGCUUGUUUUUGCAUUGCAAUUUCUGAAUAUGUAAAAAUGAUGAUUUGAAAUGGUUUUGAAUAGUUAUUGUUCCCAAAUUUUCUAAAUUAUUGUAAACAAAACAGGUGAAAUGUAUGUUGUGCCACUGUACUGUGCAAAGCUUCAAAUUCUAAGACACAGGAGAGAGAAGUUCAAUCUCUUUAUUCAUUUGAUAAUUUCAUAGUUCUGUUUUCUGCAAUGAGUUACUGCUCUCAUGUGGUCUCUUCGGCAAAAUCAACUGCAUUCCUGCUGGUUAUUAAUGAAAUAAUAUUGUAAAAUAUGAAUAAAAUAAAUGGUAUAUUUUCAAA